rnacentral:lncRNA from 1 species
CGUUAAGUAUGUUUAAUAACAUCAUUGAUUGAUUUACAGUGAUAUUUAUGUGCUUUAUUCCAAAACUUUUUUCUCAAGAGAGAUAUUUUCUUCCACGUGUUUACCUCGUUUACAUGUAUUUAUAAGAUGAUAUUACUUCAUGAUGAUAUUUAAAUGCUGCGCGCGCCUAAACGAGCCUAACCGUCUCUCAUAGAUUUUAAUCGCUGUGCAGUGCAGACCAUGGUGCAGACGCGGUUAGUUAGAGAAGGGAGAGAGCAGAAAGAGAUAUUGUCUUUCACUCGCGAAGGAAAACACAGAAAGUAAGUGUUUUACUUCAUUUACUAUAUGUAUUCCAUAAAAUAAUAUUAUUUAGUAAUGAUAUUUGUAUGCUGUGCGUGCCUAGACGAUCUGAAACAUUUCUCACAGAUUAAAUUUGAUGUCAAAUCAAACCACUGUAAACGGCACAAAUCUAAAAUAACGUUAGCAAUAUCAGUAACGCUAAUUGUUUCUUGCAUGUCUCCUGAACAAAUUUUGGCAUUAUAUUAGGCAUUAAUUUAAUGAGUUUUCAUAAUGUUGAUGUGUCAAUAUAUUGGAUUGGAGUUAUUUUUCCAUAUAUAUGUAUGUAUGUGUAUGUUUCAUAUUUCAUAUAUAUUCAUUUGUAUAUAUUUAAAAAUAACUUUUCAAUAAACUGAAACUCUCUAUACCGCAUGAGUUAAAUUGUACACCAUUCAAAGUGAAUUUGUGCCCUCACAAAACUUGGAAUAUGACACAUGGGUAGCAUGAACUACAGAUUAGAUAUGUAUUUUUUUUUUGGUAUGCUUGUACUGUCCGUUAUUCAUGUGCUGUCCCAUUUAUGUGCAUUCAUUUUGAUAGACAGAGCCCUGCCUCAGCACAGUGAGAUCAGCAUGGAAUUCAGGAAUCACAACCUAUUUUCCAAAGCACUUUUGUGAUGCUGCAAGUGGAUGCUCUGCUUAGUUGAAAACUGCAGAGAACCACGUCUUGUCCUGAAAAAAAGAAAGAGACUACUUUCUCCAAGGAGGUCCAAACGCCACUGGCACAGACUGCGUUCAGCGAUUAAUCGAAAUC